GAAAUGCGAUAAGUAAUGUGAAUUGCAGAAUUCAGUGAAUCAUCGAAUCUUUGAACGCACAUUGCGCCCGCCAGUAUUCUGGCGGGCAUGCCUGUUCGAGCGUCAUUUCAACCCUCAAGCACAGCUUGGUGUUGGGACUCGCGUUAAUUCGCGUUCCCCAAAUUGAUUGGCGGUCACGUCGAGCUUCCAUAGCGUAGUAGUAAAACCCUCGUUACUGGUAAUCGUCGCGGCCACGCCGUUAAACCCCAACUUCUGAAUGUUGACCUCGGAUCAGGUAGGAAUACCCGCUGAACUUAA
rnacentral:misc_RNA from 1 species